GAUGAACGCUAGCGGGAGGCUUAACACAUGCAAGUCGAGGGGCAGCAUAGGGUAGCAAUACUCUGAUGGCGACCGGCAAACGGGUGAGUAACGCGUAUGCAACCUACCCUGUACAGGGGGAUAACCCGGAGAAAUUCGGACUAAUAUCCCGUAAUAAUAUCCGGAGGCAUCUUUGGAUAUUUAAAGUUUCGACGGUACGGGAUGGGCAUGCGUAACAUUAGCUGGUUGGUAAGGUAACGGCUUACCAAGGCUAUGAUGUUUAGGGGUCCUGAGAGGGUGGUCCCCCACACUGGUACUGAGACACGGACCAGACUCCUACGGGAGGCAGCAGUGAGGAAUAUUGGUCAAUGGGCGCAAGCCUGAACCAGCCAUCCCGCGUGCAGGAAGACGGCCCUAUGGGUUGUAAACUGCUUUUCCAGGGAGAGAAACUUACGCACGUGUUGCGUGACUGACGGUACCCUGGGAAUAAGCAAUCGGCUAACUCCGUGCCAGCAGCCGCGGUAAUAGUGU
rnacentral:rRNA from 1 species